AGCAGCGCCGCCGCGUGAGGGAUGACGGCGUUCGGGUUGAAACCUCUUUGAGUAGGGAAGAAGGCCUUCGGGUUGACGGUACCUGCAGAAGAAGCGCCGGCUAACUACGUGCCAGCAGCCGCGGUAAUACGUAGGGCGCAAGCGUUGUCCGGAAUUAUUGGGCGUAAAGAGCUCGUAGGCGGUUUGUCGCGUCUGCUGUGAAAACGCGAGGCUUAACCUCGCGCCUGCAGUGGGUCGGGCAGACUAGAGUGCGGUAGGGGAGACUGGAAUUCCUGGUGUAGCGGUGGAAUGCGCAGAUAUCAGGAGGAACACCGGUGGCGAAGGCGGGUCUCUGGGCCGUUACUGACGCUGAGGAGCGAAAGCAUGGGGAGCGAACAGGAUUAGAUACCCUGGUAGUCCAUGCCGUAAACGUUGGGCACUAGGUGUGGGACCCAUUCACGGGUUCCGUGCCGCACUAACGCAUUAAGUGCCCCGCCUGGGGAGUACGGCCCAAAGGCUAAAAACUCAAGGGGAAUUGACGG
rnacentral:rRNA from 1 species